AUUCGUUUUAGUUUUGUGUGUUUUGCUGUCCUUUCCUCCGGACGCACCAAUUCAGCACCUUUUCCAGCAGAGAUCGUUGUGAGAUCGCAGGUCGGGAGGAUGACAGCUCGAGUGUAUUUCUCGUUGAUUGCUGUUUUAUCGUGUCUGUUAGGAUACUUGAGCAUAACUCAUGCUAUUCAGAGACGACCCACAGUGGAUGGUUUCUGUCCGGCGAUGCUGACGGUCGUGCCGUCCCGUCGAGGAUGUUCUUCUGAUAAAGACUGCCCUGGAG